AUGCAUACGGUCCUAUGUGCGAUUUUCCUCAUCCUCCAACUCUCGUCCUCCAUGCCGGUGAUCUCGUCACCCUCUAGCGCUCGGCAUUACAAGUCUAUUUUUAGCUUCGGCGACUCUUUAGCCGACACCGGCAACGGCCCUGUCAUCUUCCAGCGGUUCUCCAUCUUCAACCCCGUUACACGACCUCCCUAUGGCAGCACCUUCUUUGGCCGGCCCAGUGGCCGAGACUGCGAUGGCCGGCUCAUCAUCGACUUCAUUGCUGAAAACAUGGGCUUGCCAUAUGUGCCCGCCACCCAGGUGCAUAACGGCAGCUUCCAUCAAGGUGCCAAUUUCGCCGUUGCCGCCGCCACCACUCUUGACGCCGAUUUCUACCACGAGAGGGGUAUCCCCGGUGCACCCAGCAAGUUCCCGCUCAACACCAGCUUAGGCGUGCAGCUCGAGUGGUUCGAGUCCAUGAAGCCCUCCUUGUGCCGCACAGACCGAGAGUGCAAGGAAUUCUUUGGUAGUUCCCUCUUCUUCGUGGGAGAGUUCGGUGUCAACGACUAUCACUUCUCUUUCCAAAAGAAAACGGUACAGGAAGUCAGGUCCUUCGUUCCAGAUAUCGUGGCAACCAUAUCCAUGGCCAUCGAGAGGCUGAUCACCAAGCAUGGCGCGAGGAGCCUGGUGGUUCCGGGUGUGAUCCCAUCAAGAUGCUCACCGCCGAUUCUGACCAAGUUCGACGACGCCUCACCAGCAGCAUACGACUCCAAAACUGGUUGUCUAAAAGCUUACAACGAGCUGGGGAUGUACCACAACUCGCUGCUGCAGGCUGCCUUGUCCAAACUCCAGGCUAAGCACCGGAACGUCAGGAUCAUCUAUGCGGAUUACUUCGGCCCAGUCAUGGAUAUGGUGGAGUCGCCUCACAAGUUUGGUUAG
rnacentral:rRNA from 1 species